UUUGACCUCAAAUCAGGCAGGAUCACCCGCUGACA
rnacentral:rRNA from 1 species